AGUGAACGCUGGCGGUAGGCCUAACACAUGCAAGUCGAACGGCAGCACAGGAGAGCUUGCUCUCUGGGUGGCGAGUGGCGGACGGGUGAGGAAUACAUCGGAAUCUACUUUUUCGUGGGGGAUAACGUAGGGAAACUUACGCUAAUACCGCAUACGACCUACGGGUGAAAGCAGGGGACCUUCGGGCCUUGCGCGAUUGAAUGAGCCGAUGUCGGAUUAGCUAGUUGGCGGGGUAAAGGCCCACCAAGGCGACGAUCCGUAGCUGGUCUGAGAGGAUGAUCAGCCACACUGGAACCGAGACACGGUCCAGGCUCCUACGGGAGGCAGCAGUGGGGAAUAUUGGACAAUGGGCGCAAGCCUGAUCCAGCCAUACCGCGUGGGUGAAGAAGGCCUUCGGGUUGUAAAGCCCUUUUGUUGGGAGAGAAAUCCAGCUGGCUAAUACCCGGUUGGGAUGACGGUACCCAAAGAAUAAGCACCGGCUAACUUCGUGCCAGCAGCCGCCGUAA
rnacentral:rRNA from 1 species